rnacentral:misc_RNA from 1 species
GAUGAAGAACGCAGCGAAAUGCGAUACGUAAUGUGAAUUGCAGAUUUCAGUGAAUCAUCGAAUCUUUGAACGCACAUUGCGCCCGCUAGUAUUCUGGCGGGCAUGCCUGUUCGAGCGUCAUUUCAACCAUCAAGCCCUAGGCUUGCGUUGGAGCCCUGCGGCUGCCGCAGGCUCCCAAAUCCAGUGGCGGGCUCGUCGUCGUACCGAGUGCAGUAAACAUCUUCGCUCAGGGAACGUGACGGGUUCUUGCCGUGAAACCCCCCACAUAUCAAGGUUGACCUCGGAUCAGGUAGGAAUACCCGCUGAACUUAAGCAUAUCAAUAAGCGGAGGA